rnacentral:rRNA from 1 species
GAGCUUGGCGGUGUUUUAGACCUCUCAGGGGAACCUGUCUCAUAAUCGACAAUCCACGUUAAACCUAACCUUUGAUAGCAACUCAGCCUGUAUACCGUUGUCGUCAGGUAACUUCUUAAAAUAUAGUAGUUAGCUUGAGAAUUUUAUUAAUUAAAACGUCAAAUCAAGGUGCAGCUAAUAAAAAGGUGAAGAUGGGUUACAAUUACAUAUUUGUAAAUAUGGAUAAAUAUUUGAAAGAAUGUUUUAAAGGAGGACUUGAAAGUAAUUUUGAUUAUAUAAACAAGAUGAAUGAGGCUCUGAAACGUGCACACAUCGCCCGUCGCUCUCGUUGAAAAAUGAGAUAAGUCGUAACAUAGUAGGGGUAAUGGAAAUUGUUCCUAGGC